UACGUAGGGUGCAAGCGUUAAUCGGAAUUACUGGGCGUAAAGCGUGCGCAGGCGGUGAUGUAAGACAGGUGUGAAAUCCCCGGGCUUAACCUGGGAACUGCAUUUGUGACUGCAUCGCUGGAGUGCGGCAGAGGGGGAUGGAAUUCCGCGUGUAGCAGUGAAAUGCGUAGAUAUGCGGAGGAACACCGAUGGCGAAGGCAAUCCCCUGGGCCUGCACUGACGCUGAGGAGCGAAAGCGUGGGGAGCGAACAGG
rnacentral:rRNA from 1 species